GACGUAGGGCGCGAGCGUUGUCCGGAUUUAUUGGGCGUAAAGAGCUCGUAGGCGGCUUGUUGCGUCGGCCGUGAAAACCUGUGGCUUAACUAUGGGCUUGCGGUCGAUACGGGCAUCACUGGAGUUCGGCAGGGGAGACUGGAAUUCCUGGUGUAGCGGUGAAAUGCGCAGAUAUCAGGAAGAACACCAAUGGCGAAGGCAGCUCUCUGGGACGGUACUGACACUGGAGACGCG
rnacentral:rRNA from 1 species